CCCAGCACCACAGGCACAGCCACUACCUUCACCACCUGAAAAGCACAUUUGAAAGAACUGGAACGCUGACUGUGGCUAACUGCAAAACAAGUGAAUGUUCAGAAGAAAUCAUGGAACAAAAGAUGCCAGUUAAUCAAAUGGAGGAGUAGGUGCUGAUUGGUAAUAAGGGGUGGCCGCUCGUGGAUGGGGUUCAGGAUGCCGUACAUUCUGACCCUGGUGCUGGCUCCUCCAAGCAAGUGACAUUGGGUUUUUUCACAACCUGACCCAAAAUCUGCCUCUACCUCCAUGGGUUACAGAAGGAAUGUGAACAAGGUGGAAACAGACUCUGUCUGGGCCCUUUAUAAAAGGACCCUGGAACUAGACUCCACACUAAAGGAGUUGGAUUGUGAGACAAAGGACAUAAGAAGAACUGGGGAUUCACAGAAAAGAGCUGGCCAUUUCUCCAUGAGGUCUUUGACAGCAGGGUAGCGCUUAACGACUUCUAAUCAUCAAUAUGAGAAGUCUUGAAGUCUUGAAUGAAGUCUUCUCCAUUAUAUCACCAAUGACCUUAUUGUUGUUUUUCUUCUUCUGAAUUUCUUUGAGUAGCACAACUCUCUCCUUCUCUAAAGUUACUUCAGUUUCCCCAAAUGGAAAUGGCGGCAAGUGGUUUACUUCAGCCUUCCUGGGCUUUUUCAUGCCUAUGGGGUGAGACUUUUCAUUUGUGAACUUUGUUUUCAAACAGUUAACCUCCAGCUCUGGACAAGAAAGUUUCCUGCCUCUUAAUUUUGCUCGAUAAUUGCCCACCUUAUAUUUGAUCCUCUGUUGCACUUUUCGAUUAAGAUGUCUACUACAUUCAUAAUUUGGAUACUUUUUGGGUAUAGCUAUCGUUAUAGUUACAUAGUUAUAUGUACAUACAUAGUUAUAGUUAUGUAGCACUCAUAUUUACAUUAAACUUCUGUAAAUGCCUAAACGCCUAUAAUAUGUGAAAAAAUAUAUACUUAAAAGCCAAUCGUUUUCAACACAGAUGUAAUUUGCUAGCAAUGCAGAUGAGUGUGCUAAUCAAUUCAUUAGCAUGUAAACUCAACUGUGUUAACUAUAUUAAUAGUUUAACUUGGUAACAUGUUAACUUGGUUAUCCAUGUGCAUAAUAAAAGAAAACAGUGUUUGCAAGUGUUAUCCAAAAACCAGUUAACGUUCACGAGACCACAUACGAACAUCAUUCAUAACUCAAUAAUAAGAAACCAGCAGCAAUGACCACCAGGACUGCAGAAAGUUAAAUAAGCUUGCAAUUUUUAAGCUGCAAACCUUACUAAAUGCCUGAGCGAUUAUUUCACCACCUACUGUAGUUUAAUCUCCUCAGUCGCUGAUAAAAAAAAUUUCCAUUGGACAAGGUUGCCUGCAGUCUCUGCGCACCAGUUCUAAUGUGAGAAGAGCGCACGCACAGCUAUUUCCAAGUUGUGUUAAGUACAUUUUUUACUUCCUUUUGUUAGUUUUUUGAAGUAAUUAGAUGACAAAACACAAAGUAAAUAUUUCUUUGGCAUCUCAAUUCAAAUUUACAUAUGUAUUUGAGCACAAAUAAUAACAAAGAAACCACAAGUAACACAUUGUAUUAAAUGUGACAUUUUGAAGUAGAAGGACUGAAAUAGUAUAUUCUUGUAAAACAUAAUUUAGUAAUCUAUUUUUUUUCCCAGUGUUUGUUGGAGCGUGGCUUAGCCAAACACAAUUGUACCGCAUGUAGUUCACCUUGUUUACUGAUCAUUCAUAUCAGCUGGGUACCGAUUACAGGCUUGUUAAUGCUGUUACAGUGUCCCUAAUUCAUAUCCUGUGCCUAGGAUAGAAGACCUUAUAGACAAUGCUGGUUCAGCUUGUUUUGUGUCACAGUUGGACUUGCUUAAGGGUUAUUGGCAGGUGCCACUGACUACUCUAUUUCUGAUUUUGUCAACCUGACAGUGUUCUGCAAUACACAAUUAUGCCAUUUGGACUUUGAAAUGCUCCCGCAACCUUCCAGCGACUAGUUAAAAUUGUGUUGUCAGAUGUUCCAAACAGGACGCCUCCUUUAAUGAGGAAAUAGGAGGCUGGCAAGGCUUGGCCCAUGUGUGUGCUCCCUGUCUAUUUCCAACUGCCUGGCUCUGGCAGUGUUUAUUCAGUCAUCCGCCUUCUGGUCUCUGCUAAAGCUAACCUCCCAAGUGGCCUGCUGAUACACAGAAAGGAGGGGAUUAGUGGAGAAAGGGGGCUCACCCACGGUGCCAUCAUCCAUGCUGUCUUCUUCCUCCCCAGCUAGGUAGACUGGUUGUGUGGGGUUUAUUCCUGUGGGUCUCUGUUGCUGUGGCUUUCGGGGUCUCAAGGCCUUUUUAGAGUAGGGCAAACCCCAGCCAAUCUCUCCCUACAAGAAGAAGCACGGGUAGGUCAGGCAUUAACCCAAUGAGAAGAGGUCCGAGCAGCUCAAGGGAUCACUGAGGAGCAGGCCUGCAUCAGUGUGCUCCUGAAAUUGAGUAGGGUUUGGACAGAGGCCUCAUCUAGCCACCAGUUUAUGGUGGGCACAUAGGGGGGCUUUUUUAGUGGACAACACAGCCUGCUAGCCAUGUCUCUGUGGGUGGUGUGGCACGGGGUUCGGGUUCUGUGGGCAUAGGUUCAUUUCGGGGAGUGGCAUAGCUGGGUCAUCCUCAGGGCUCCUUCCUUUCCUCUCCUGGGUUAACAAAAGGGCCUGACUUGGGGAAAUGUCUCAAGUGGAAACUAUCACUUUUUUCCCCUCUCUCCAUCGCAAGCAUGGCGAGUGCAUGUUCCAGGGACUCUACCAUCUCCCUCAUAGUGGCCGGCGCUUGGGCACUUAAGGCCUUGCAUUCCUCCAGGGGUAGCACUCUGAGGAAUUUGUCCAUGGUGGUCUUCUCUACCACUUGGAUUGCAGUCAGACGUUGCAGCUGGAGCCACCGCUUUGCUGUGAACAUUAGGAAGUCCAUUUUUUGGUGGGGAUUGGCUGUUGGUUAAGAACCACUUAUGGAAUUCACCAACAGAGAUGGAUGGAGACAGUCCACACAGAGCCAGAAUCUCAGCCUUGAUCUUCUCAUAGUUCCCUGCUUCAGCUGGCAGUAGCACAUAAUAUGCGAGCUGCACCUCUCCUGACAGCAAGAGUGCCAGCACCUGGGCCCAGUUCUCUCAACUCCACCCCUCUCGGAUGGUGAUGCACUCAGAGGUGUGUAGAUAAGCUUGGACAUUGUCGUCACCAUUGAGUUUGGGGAGUAGGUGGUGAGCAUGAUGGCAUGGGUCAGGGAGUGGAGUGGGCGUCACAGAGUUUGCCUCACGGAGGGUUAAGAGCUUAUCAGUGGUGACCUAGAGCCCAUGGGCCAACUCCUGUGUGACCUCCUGCUGCCAGAGACUGGAUUCAAGGAGGUGCUGGAAGAGCGUGUCCACAUGGAUGUUGGGUUUAUUUUUCUUCCUUUUUUUAGGACUUUGAAGGGUGGUGGUCAGGGUUUGCAUUCAUGAUCGCAUUCUCCAUCACUGUGUCGUUGAGCACUGGAGCGAGGCAGAACACAAACACACUGAGACACAUGGAGUAGGUGAAAGAAACUACUUUUUAAUGAUCUUUCAAGGUUGAACAAGGCCUCAUGGCAGAAGAACAGCGAUGACAUAGUGUCUCAGGGAAGCAAUGAAUUCCACAGCUCAACAACAUGGCGGAGGAACUGUCUUGUCCAGGUUCGAAUCUGCGAUGAUUAGAGGAAGAGAAAAUCACGUUCUCGACCAGCUUCUCCUCACCUCUAUCUGAUCUUUUAUUUUGGAAUGUGGCUGUGGGGAUUUGCCCAUUCAGCAACAAGAACAUUAUUGACAUCAGGUACUGAUGUUGGCGAGAAGGUCUAGCGUGCAGUCAUCAUUCCAGUUCAUCCCAAAGGUGUUCAGUGGGGUUGAGGUCAGAGGUCUGUGCAGGCUACUCGAGUUCUUCCACACCAACCUUGGCAAACCAUGUCAUUAUAGACCACAGUUUGUGCACAGGGGCACUGUCAUGCUGGAGCAUGUUUGGGCUCCUUAGUUCCAGUUAAGGGAAUUUGUACUGCUGUAGCAUCCAAAGAAAUCCUAAAGAAUUGUGUGCUUCCAACUUUUGGCAAAAGUAUUGGAACGGCAAAGUCAAUUCUUUUGUUUUUGCUAUUCACCGAAUACAUUUGAGUUUGAGAUCAAAAGAUGAAUAUGAGACAAUAAAUCAGAAUUUCAGCUUUCAAUUCCUUAUAUUAGUGACAGACAACACAAUUUUUAGGUGAACAAAAGUAUUGGUACAGAUAGUCUUGAAGUAAAUUAAAGUAAAUAAUACUUAGUAUUUGGAUGCAUAUGCCUUGCUUGCAAUAACUUCAGCAAGCCAGCAACCCACUGACGUCACCAAACUGUUGCAUUCUUCUUUUUUUGUACUGCAAAAAAAAAACUGUUGCACCCACUUUUUUGUACUGGAACUACUAGCAUAACCUUAUAUAUAAUCAGUACUGUGCAAAAGUCUUAGGCACAUGCAAAGUAAUGCUGUAGAGCAUAGAUGCAUUAAAAAUGUAAUUAAAUGUUUCUACAUUAAAAAAUACUAUAAAGAGCAGUAAACAGUAAUAAAUGUUCAUACAGUAAUAAAAGUAAAAAAAUAAAAUUUGGUGUAACAACCAUUUGCUUUAAAAAAAAUAGUAGUCUCAGGUACAAUUUGUGCAGUUUUAUAAGGAAAUUGGCUGGUAAGUUUUACUGAGCAUCUUGCAGAACCAUCCACAGUUCUUCUGGAGACUUUGACUGUUGCAGUUGCUUCUUAUUUUUGCGUGCAAAACCCAGCAGCUUUCAUUAUGUUUUUUGUCUGAAAAGUUGUCUUAUAUAACAUGCUGCUUCCUUUACUGACAUACUCACAUUUUUUGUGCUGGAAAACUAAUGUUUGGAAAUCUAAAAUGUUUUCAUACUGACUUGAUAAUGUACAAGUCAUAAAAUAAAAAUCUAUAACAAUGUUUCUACUAAAAAAAUAGGGUGCACAGACCUUUGCACAGUACUAUACAUAUACACUAACCCAAAUGGAAAUAGUAUUAUAGGGCAUAAUGGUUUAUUACUUUCUUCUCACUGUUGUGCUAGUCUUUUCAGCAGCUAGACCUUUGGUAGAGGAUAUUGUUGAGAAAGGUCCAACCAUUAAAUAAAUAAUUGGGCUCAAAUAGGUUUUCCAACUGGGACCAUAAAUUAUUAACCAAUGUGUUCAAAUAAGACAUUAAAAAGUACAACCUUUUGUGUGUUAGUUUAGGCAGUGUUUGCAUGUUAUUAUGAACAUCAUCAGACCACAAUUUAUGAGUAACUAAUGCUGAAAUCCUGGUAAGUUGAAGAGUUUUUUUUUCUUUCUUGCAACUGUUCAACAUAGUAUGAUACAAUGUAUGGCCAAAAGUUUGUGGACACCUGUCCACCCACACAUAUGUGGGCCUUCCUCAAUCUGUUGCCACAAAGUUGGAAGUACACAGUUGUAUGUCUGUAUGCUGUAGCAUUACAAUUUGUCUUCACUGGUACAUUGAAGCAGUUCUUGUGGCCUUAUUAAGACAAUAUAUGUUGGGUUGUUUUUUUUUCCUUUAAUUUUUCACAAUGUCUGAAUAUAAUCCUUGGUUAAUUAAAAAAAACAUAAUAAAAUUGACACUUUUUGCUGUUUAUAAUAAGCAAAGAAUUCUGAACACUUAGUUUCAUAGUGCAGUGACUUAUUUUAUUGAAGUCAAACUUACAACUCUUUACAAUCUAAAUUUCAUUACAAUCUAAAUUUCUUUUACAAUCUAAAUUUCUUCUGUUAAUAUAUAUUUUAUAUAUGAAACAAAAAAAAUGCUACUUUAGGAAGAAUAAAUAUUUUUUCAUUAUAUAUAUAUUAGAUAGAGAUAUAGAUAUAGAUAGAUAGAUAACCCUUGGCUUGUAGUAAUUUUCCUUGAUAAAGAGCAAUAUGUUCAUUUUUUAAUGUCGCAG